UUUUUUUCUUUUUCUUUGUUUUUGCUUGUGACAUAAUUUUUUCGCAGUCUCAAAUAGAGCAUAAGAUUUGCGUUAUGUAAUAUUACAGAUUAUUUCGACAUAUCCAGAUAUCUUGAAUUUCUGAAUGAGAUUACUACUGAUGCUGUAUUAGCGCGUUUGGUUUAAUACAGUAAUAUAAUAUUGAGUUACAGUGUAUAUAGUAUUACUAUGUUUGAUUCAGUUUAUAAAAUUAAGUAAUUUUGACAACAGAGUGUAAUAUGUUCCUAAAUUGAGGGUAAAGCUAAAAACUGGGCCU
rnacentral:lncRNA from 1 species